rnacentral:rRNA from 1 species
AACGAACGCUGGCGGCAUGCCUAACACAUGCAAGUCGAACGAGACCUUCGGGUCUAGUGGCGCACGGGUGCGUAACGCGUGGGAACCUGCCCUUAGGUUCGGAAUAACUCCCCGAAAGGGGUGCUAAUACCGGAUAAUGUCUUCGGACCAAAGAUUUAUCGCCUUUGGAUGGGCCCGCGUUGGAUUAGCUAGUUGGUAGGGUAAAAGCCUACCAAGGCGACGAUCCAUAGCUGGUCUGAGAGGAUGAUCAGCCACACUGGGACUGAGACACGGCCCAGACUCCUACGGGAAGCAGCAGUGGGGAAUAUUGGACAAUGGGCGAAAGCCUGAUCCAGCAAUGCCGCGUGAGUGAUGAAGGCCUUAGGGUUGUAAAGCUCUUUUACCCGGGAUGAUAAUGACAGUACCGGGAGAAUAAGCGCCGGCCAACUCCGUG